GGAAGGAUCAUUAACACUGGCGUGGUUUUCGGGCCACGAUUAUCCCAAACAACAUGUGAACUGGUGCGAUGCGGGUUCGGGUGCCUGGUUGGUUUAUUUUUCAAAACGACAAUCACACAAACUGAAGCAAAUUAUAUAUUGAUAACCAAAUGUACAACUCUUAGCAAUGGAUAUCUUGGUUCCCACAACGAUGAAGAACGCAGCGAAAUGCGAUACGUAAUGCGAAUUGCAGAAUUCAGUGAAUCAUCAAAUCUUUGAACGCAAGUUGCGCUUUCGAGAUAUCCUUGAAAGCAUGCCUCUUUGAGUAUCGGUUUCACAUUAUUCACCCGCGUGCGGGUUGAGAGAUUGAGCAUUGAUCGGGCGCUUGGGGCCCAUGGUCAUGUCUUCAAACGCAUGUGUCGAUCAGGCGUGGUGCGACAGUUGCGACUACUUCGUGAGUUGAUUUUUAUCGGCAAUACCAAAAGUGUCGUGCAGCGCCCGCCGUUAAACCAAUACAUAGAUCUCAAAUGAGGUAAGACUACCCGCUGAAUUUAAGCAUAUAAUUAAGCGGAGGAAAAGAAACUAACAAGGAUUCCCCUAGUAACGGCGAGUGAAGCGGGAAGAGCUCAAACCGAAAAUCUCUGGCGCUUGUCGCCAGCGAAUUGUGGUCUAUUGAAGCGUGUCUCAGCGGCGGCCCCGGUCUAAGUCAAUUGGAACAUUGCAUCGGAGAGGGUGAGAAUCCCGUCUUUGGCUGGGUGACCGUUGCGUUCGAGCCGCUUUCGAAGAGUCGGGUUGCUUGGGAGUGCAGCCCUAAGUGGGUGGUAAAUUUCAUCUAAAGCUAAAUAUAUGUGGGAGACCGAUAGCGAACAAGUACCGUGAGGGAAAGAUGAAAAGAACUUUGAAAAGAGAGUUAAACAGUACUUGAAAUUGCUGAGAACGAAGGGAUGGCGACUAGUAUUGGCUCGAACGAUCUUUUCUGGUCGAUCGUUGUCGGGCGCGGGCUGUGGAUUGCGGUUUCGCUUCCAUUGUCGGUGUCGUGGCGAUGUCGAACGGGUCCUGUCGUUUUUGCCUAGGUCAGAAUGGGUUCGGGUCGCGAUCGAAAUCGUUGUCGGCAAGGUAGCUCGGGCUCGCUCGAGAACUUAUAGGCCGGGUUCGUUGGAUCGUCCUGGACUGAGGUGCCUAAACACGCGCUCUAAGCUGUUGGUGCGGUCGUUGCUGCGUGGUCAGCGUCGUUGGGGAACAAAGUUCCGUCUCGGCGUCUGGCUCGCACUCGGCGGCCUGCCCAUCUGUCGUGUUGGAGAUUCUGACGAAAUGGUCGUCAUUCACCCGUCUUGAAACACGGACCAAGGAGUCUUACAUAUAUGCGAGUAAUCGAGUGGGAAACUCGCUUGCGGAAUGAAGGUGACUGUGAUGUGAUGUGGGUCGGCCGCGGCUCACAGCAACAUCGGGCGGCUAAAAUAACUGUACGACCAUGAGCAUAUCUGUAGGGACCCGAAAGAUGGUGAACUAUGCUUGAGCAGGAUGAAGCCAGGGGAAACUCUGGUGGAAGUCCGAAGCGAUACUGACGUGCAAAUCGUUCGUCUGACUUGAGUAUAGGGGCGAAAGACUAAUCGAACUAUCUAGUAGCUGGUUCCCUC
rnacentral:misc_RNA from 1 species